rnacentral:rRNA from 1 species
UACGUAGGGGGCGAGCGUUGUCCGGAUUUAUUGGGCGUAAAGAGCUCGUAGGCGGUUUGGUAAGUUGGAUGUGAAAUCUCCAGGCUCAACUUGGAGGGGUCAUUCGAUACUGCCAUGACUAGAGUUCGGUAGGGGAGUGUGGAAUUCCUGGUGGAGCGGUGAAAUGCGCAGAUAUCAGGAGGAACACCCGUAGCGAAGGCGGCACUCUGGGCCGGAACUGACGCUGAGGAGCGAAAGCCAGGGGAGCGAACGGG